GACGUAGGGCGCGAGCGUUGUCCGGAUUUAUUGGGCGUAAAGAGCUCGUAGGCGGCUCGUUGCGUCGGCUGUGAAAACCCGCGGCUCACCGUGGGCUUGCAGCUGAUACGGGCGGGCUGGAGUUCGGUAGGGGAGACUGGAAUUCCUGAUGUGUAGGCGGUGAAAAUGCGCAGAUAAUCAGGAGGAACACCGGUGGCGAAGGCGGGUCUCUGGGCCGAUACUGACGCUGAGGAGCGAAAGCGUGGGGAGCGAACAGG
rnacentral:rRNA from 1 species